GAAUACCAACUGUCAAAGACUUUUCAAAUAUAGAAUGUGCGGUUUUAAAGAAAUUUUUAGGAAAUUUUCUAUGUUGAAUUAAAUAGUUUAAAUGCCAUUUUUGUACACUGAUUUUAUAUUUUCCAAUCAAAAUACUUUAUGUAAGAAAUAAUCAAAUUAGUUUUAUGUUUUAAAUCCGGUGGCUGUAUGAUAUACAAAUUCUUUGUUCCAAAUGAGAUAAACUUUUCGCAACACUUGACAGAUUAUGGCACCAUGUAAACGAAAACGGAGCAGAUCGUGCAGGACCACGCGGUGUCGAACGAAACGCGGGCGAUUUAAGCGUUGUCGGCCAUGCGAUCGACGGUAUAGUGUGAGAAAGCCUUGUUGUAAGCCCAAACGCAAACGCCGCUGUCCACGCAGAAGAAAGUCUUCGUGCGGACGAAAAUCACGCUACAUGUACCGUUGCCGAUCACGUUCAGGAGCAUUCAAGCGUUGCCGCAAGUGCGAUCGUCGGUACCGCGUCAGACGUAGAUCCUCAUCACGAUAAACUAAACAUACAAUAUUGGUGGCUGGUAUUGUCUUGUUGGUGAUUUGCUCUCCAUUCCAAGUGUUCGAGAAAUUGUGCUAGUGACUCCCAUAUGUUUAUAAAAUACUCAAAUUAAGAGAAAUUUAUUUAAAUAGUUGUUUUAUUUAGUUAAUUUUAUAAUUUACGCCUAAGGUCCAAGUUCACUGAUAGCAAAAACGUUAGUUUUCCUAAAACAACUGUUUAAAUAUUUUUUUCAGAUUAUUUUUUUUAAGGGAACAGUUGUUUUAAGGGAAACUGACGUUUUGUUGUCGGUGAACUUCGCCUUACAAUACCCGCAUACUGAAGACUAAAAAGUCAGACGACAGUUGACACAAUGAUAGACAAAAACUAAUUUUUGAAGAAAAUCCUGAUUCCAGUCAAAGUUUUCAGU